GUCCACGCCCUAAACGAUGAGUGCUCGAUAUUGGGAUUUAUUCUCAGUGUCUAAGCUAACGCGAUAAGCACUCCGCCUGGGAAGUACGGUCGCAAGAUUAAAACUCAAACGGAAUUGACGGGGACCCGCACAAGCGGUGGAACAUGUGGUUUAAUUCGAUGCUACGCGAAAAACCUUACCAGACCUUGACAUGGUGAUUAAAUCCUAGGGAAUCCUAGGAGUCGGUUCGGCCGGAUCAUCACAGGUGUUGCAUGGCUGUCGU
rnacentral:rRNA from 1 species